UGUAUAGGAGCUGACGCCUGCCCGGUGCUGGAAGGUUAAGGGGAUCUGUUAGAGCAAUCGAAGCAGUGAACUUAAGCCCCAGUAAACGGCGGCCGUAACUAUAACGGUCCUAAGGUAGCGAAAUUCCUUGUCGGGUAAGUUCCGACCCGCACGAAAGGCGUAACGAUUUGGGCACUGUCUCAACAACAGACUCGGUGAAAUUGUAAUUCCGGUGAAGAUGCCGGAUACCUGCGACAGGACGGAAAGACCCCAUGGAGCUUUACUGUAGCUUGACAUUGGGUCUUGGUACUACAUGUACAGGAUAGGUGGGAGGCUUUGAAACCAGGACGCCAGUUUUGGCGGAGCCAUCCUUGGGAUACCACCCUUGUAGUACUGGGACUCUAACCAUAGGCCAUGAAUCUGGUCUUGGGACACUGUCAGGUGGGCAGUUUGACUGGGGCGGUCGCCUCCCAAAAGGUAACGGAGGCGCUCAAAGGUUCUCUCAGUACGGUCGGAAAUCGUACGUAGAGUGUAAAGGCAAAAGAGAGCUUGAUUGCAAGACAUACAGGUCGAGCAAGGAUGAAAAUCGGACUUAGUGAUCCGGUGGUUCUGCGUGGAAGGGCCAUCGCUCAACGGAUAAAAGCUACCCUGGGGAUAACAGGCUUAUCUCCCCC
rnacentral:rRNA from 1 species